UGCCAGCCGCCGCGGUAAUACGGAGGGUGCAAGCGUUGUUCGGAAUUAUUGGGCGUAAAGCGCGUGUAGGCGGUUCGUUAAGUCUGAUGUGAAAGCCCGGGGCUCAACCCCGGAAGUGCAUUGGAAACUGGCGAACUUGAGUACGGGAGAGGAAAGUGGAAUUCCGAGUGUAGGGGUGAAAUCCGUAGAUAUUAGAAGGAAUAUCAGUAGCGAAGGCGAUUAUCUGGCCCAAAACUGACGCUGAAGUGCGAAAGCAUGGGGAGCAAACAGGAUUAGAUA
rnacentral:rRNA from 1 species